UACGUAGGGUGCGAGCGUUGUCCGGAAUUAUUGGGCGUAAAGGGCUCGUAGGCGGUCUGUCGCGUCGGGAGUGAAAACUCAGGGCUUAACCCUGAGCCUGCUUCCGAUACGGGCAGACUAGAGGUAUGCAGGGGAGAACGGAAUUCCUGGUGUAGCGGUGGAAUGCGCAGAUAUCAGGAGGAACACCGGUGGCGAAGGCGGGAUCCUGGGCCAGUACUGACGCUGAGGAGCGAAAGCGUGGGGAGCAAACAGG
rnacentral:rRNA from 1 species